GUUGGUGAAGAAAGGGCCAAAAUCGGUGCCCCUCUUUGCUUAAUACCAAUCUGACGGCCCUCUUCCCAUUGGCCUCUCUCUGCUCACCGCCUUCGAUCGCCACCUCUCUGCACUGUCGAUCAUCGAUAAAGCCGGGAUCAGGGGAUUCUUUUUUUUUUUAUUUGUUUGUUUGUACCUCCUUGAAACAGUCACCACCAUCCGUCACCACCGCCUGUCUGGAUGGCCACCCACGAUCCCCA
rnacentral:lncRNA from 1 species